UGUAUCUAUAUGUAUUUUAUAUGUGUAGUAGUGUUAUGUUCUUCUAGUCUUGAGUUUAAUCUCUUGUAAGUGUUUUAAAAUGAAGCAAGUGUCAUUCGAGGACGAAUAUUGUCCAAGUAAGGGAGAAUGUAAUACCCUUAAAAUGAAUUAGGUGAAGCUAGAGUCUAACAUUCGUUUCAUGAGGUUAUGAAGUAUUAAAAAGGUUUAUAUUAGUGUUUGAGGAAGUAUGUAAAGUUUGGUGUUCUUUCGAGGUCAAACGUGCAUGAAGUUCGAAAGAUUUUCCUUGUGACGUGCUUGUAUGUUUAGGUGUACCAUUGCAUGUUUUACAUGUUCGUAUUUGUUAAAAUUGAUGUUUGAGGUCCCUAACUUAUAUACGAGGAUUUUUUGAUGGGAAACGUAUGGACACGACCUUCGAAGGAUCAACCCAAGGGUCCUUGAGGAGGACUCAACUUGUAGUUCAAGACUGUCAAACCAAGUCCCAACUAACGAGGGAAAUCAACAAACUGUAGGUCCGUCAACACACCAUAGAUUGGAGCGUAGGUUGACAAUUAUCAUGGGUAUAUUUAUCUCCCAUUUAGUGAGGCUCUGAUCCAAACCACGGACUAGCAUGCGGUCUGUUGGUGGAUCUAUGAGGACUCAACUCAUCCGUUGAUGGUGACCUGCAAAAUUUUUUGCAUGGUCUCGGCCAAGCCAAGGCUAUACUGGGACAUUCAACUAGUGUUUAAAUUUUUUUGGGAGGUUAUUUAAGGGUAUUAUGGGUAUUUUAAGUAGUUUUAUAAGUCUAGAGCCCAAAUCCAAGUUCAUUCUUCAUAAUUAAAACCCAAACCCCAAAAGAAGAACUCUCUAGAACUCCAUUGGAGCGUGAAUAAUGGAGGGAGCUUGGAGCUUGAUUUGUCCAUUGAAUCUGCCUUUAUUUUGUGGCUAAUCAUCUAUUAAGGUGGAAUUUCAGAGGAGUCAUUUGAAGUUGAAGCUUGGAUCAGUAUUCACUCAAGCAAUGUUGGGGUAUAUCCUCAAUAGAUCUAAAGACAUCACUAUGUUUAUUUUUCUUUAUUAAAGUAAUUGUAAUAGACUUAGAUAUUUAAAUUUGUUAGUGUAUGGGUCAUCUCCAAGAUAUUCGUGUAUCUAAUAUGACGACUAUGAGACUUAGCCUUUCCUUAUUAUUUUCAAUAAAAGAGAUAUUUUGAUGUAUUA